UACAGGGGGUGCGAGCGUUGUUCGGAAUUACUGGGCGUAAAGGGCGCGUAGGCGGUCUAAUAAGUCAGAUGUGAAAUCCCGGGGCUUAACUCCGGAAGUGCAUUUGAAACUGCUAGACUAGAGUGCAGUAGAGGUUGGUGGAAUUCCCAGUGUAGAGGUGAAAUUCGUAGAUAUUGGGAGGAACACCAGUGGCGAAGGCGGCCAACUGGGCUGCAACUGACGCUGAGGCGCGAAAGCGUGGGUAGCAAACAGG
rnacentral:rRNA from 1 species